rnacentral:miRNA from 1 species
UGUGGGCGGAAAGAAGGAUUAUCCAAGCGAAGCGAAACAUGAUAAAGAAAAUGGUAAUAACUGAAAUGGUAAUAACUUCUUUACCAUUUUCUUUAUCAUGUUUCGCUUCGCUUGGAUAAUCCUUCUUUCCGCCCACA